AGUGAACGCUGGCGGUAGACCUAACACAUGCAAGUCGAACGGCAGCACAGUAAGAGCUUGCUCUUACGGGUGGCGAGUGGCGGACGGGUGAGGAAUACAUCGGAAUCUACUUUUUCGUGGGGGAUAACGUAGGGAAACUUACGCUAAUACCGCAUACGACCUACGGGUGAAAGCAGGGGAUCUUCGGACCUUGCGCGAUUGAAUGAGCCGAUGUCGGAUUAGCUAGUUGGCGGGGUAAAGGCCCACCAAGGCGACGAUCCGUAGCUGGUCUGAGAGGAUGAUCAGCCACACUGGAACUGAGACACGGUCCAGACUCCUACGGGAGGCAGCAGUGGGGGAUAUUGGACAAUGGGCGCAAGCCUGAUCCAGCCAUACCGCGUGGGUGAAGAAGGCCUUCGGGUUGUAAAGCCCUUUUGUUGGGAAAGAAAAGCAGCAGGUUAAUACCCCGCUGUUCUGACGGUACCCAAAGAAUAAGCACCGGCUAACUUCGUG
rnacentral:rRNA from 1 species